GGCUGGCUGCUGGGUGUUUAGGAGUGCUGUGUGUUCUACAAGUCAUUCUCAACAUCUCCCUGAGACUGGCUUUCUAUAACAGAGGCAAUGUGACUGUAGAGAAAGACCUGCUACAGACCAGUUACAACACCCUGACUAAAGAGAGAGACCAGCUACAGACCAGUUACAACAUCCUGACUAAAGAGAGAGACAAGCUACAGAAGGAAAGAGAUGAUGUCAUGACAAAGUUCUCAAAUCUGAAACAAACCUGUCCUGAAGGCUGGCAGAUUAAGUUGGGAUCCAGUUGGUACUUCCUGUCUACUGAGACUAAAACCUGGAAGGAGAGCAGACAGGAUUGUCUGAAGAGAGGAGCAG